rnacentral:lncRNA from 1 species
CCUAACUAAAUUUGCUAUCAGAUAUGGCAAAUGUGUUUGGCCGAGACAAGUGGAUGAAUCAGUGUCACUUUGAUAAGUUGUACUUUUGCAUUAUUAACUGGAGGUGCCAAAUUUGGUCUGGUCCAAUAGUGUACACACAAAUAUGAAAAGGGAUAUGAAACAUUGUAGAUUAAAACUACAUGCCACUACUGGAUCAGAAGGAAGGGUUACACAUAAAUAAAAGAAGAGUUCGAACGAGAGAUAGAAUAGAAACGUGUCUUUAGGUUUUAUGUAUAUUGAUAUUAUGCAAUAAUGUUUCAAUAACAUCAGAAGUAGGGCAAAUGUCCUUUUGGGCUAGGGGCAAAUGUCCUUUUGGGCUAGGGACAAAUUGAGGCUAGUUGAAAGGGAGGAC